rnacentral:sRNA from 1 species
UGCACCUGCAGCGGGCGCAGCACGGCCCUUGUGGCACUGUGCAGGUAGUCGGCCGUGUAUCGCCUGGUAAGUUAGGAAAUUUUCCUAACUUUAAAGAUUUCU